rfam:Arabis alpina cultivar Pajares chromosome 8, whole genome shotgun sequence.
CGCUGGAGGCAGCGGUUCAUCGAUCAAUUUUUUGUUUCGAAUGUUUGGAACUCGAAAGCACUAAUCGAUCGAUAAACCUCUGCAUCCAGC